AGCAUACACGCAAGCACUAUCAAAGCCGCGCCACACUCCCGAAUGGGGGAGAACGAUGAUAUGCCACAGGAGGCGAACGGCAGAGCCUCUGCUGGCCCGGCGCUCGGCCCCCCUCCCCUCUACUACACACUUCUAUGUGUAUAUACACAUCUCUUCUUGGCCCCUUCUCCCCGCACCGUGAAAGGAAAGUCGUUACGCCGUCGCGCACGCCUCCUUGUUCUUUCCCGUCCUUCCGCAUGCCUCAAGCCGGAGCUCUGGAGUGGCACAACGAGUUCUGCAGUGAAGCCUUCCGGGCCGCCUAUCCUUCGCUGUGGAGCCGCAGCGUGCUCGAUGACGAGAGAGAUAACUUUGUGGAACGGGCGUUCCACUUCUCUCACGCGAAAGGCGAUGAUGCUACUCACAACGAGAUGCACGAGUUCCAGCUGCUGCGCAUGAGCCCGGCUCCGACGCGCAGGAGUACGUCGAGAUGUUCAACACUUUCCACUCUCAGUCGGUCUACUGAUGGUGCAUAAUAUAGGAAACACGAGAGCGCAUCACAGUCGUGGGCAUCCAGCGCUGCCGUGGCGGUGCCCCCUCCCUCCACCUGCGUUUUCUCCACACCCGGUCACAUAGGAAAAGACCGAAGCGAAGAGGUGCGUGACUUUGCUUGCCAGCAUGCCUUCCGAACUAUCCUCCUCUGCCAAACAUUUUCUUUCUGUCACGACUUUGCGUGCAAGUGAGAGAUCGAAGCGGUAGUCCUUCACUCACUUAACCUUAUCCUUCCCCUGUGACAGUCCCGCAGUGUUGUGUGCGUGGUGUUUUACCGCCCUCCUACGCUCCCCACCCUCUAAGCACUUUUCGAUCCACGCACUACUGCCCGGUGUCCCCCCUCCCCCCCACUUUCCUGCACCUGGUAAG
rnacentral:misc_RNA from 1 species